CGAGGAUACAUCCUUAUUGGUUGGAGAGUUGAGUUGAGCAAGUUUUUGGUUUCUCCAGAAGUGAAUUUUACAUCCAAAGAAGAAAACCCUAAGCAUAUACUGAGCUCAGCCUGAUGCUCCUAGGCCCGGGUCCUGUGCUGGACAAUGUCCCUGAAGGACCCCGCGAUCACCGCACAGCCGAGCUCACCACUCUAGUUGAAAUCCGAAGCUACAGCAUUCCCACGGGCUCCCGAGGGCAUCGUGGGCCCAAGGUACCUCAGCCACCGCACCUGAGCGGGGAGAAGUGCCCCUGCCUCGUGGUCCUGGAGGAUGGCUCAGACACCCACCGCAGGCGCCAUGAGAGCAGAGAGCCGCUGGUUCGUCGCCGGCGGUCGGCAACGAGGACAGAUCGUGAUCUU